UCAACAUUGGGACAUCUGGACCCAGCUUCCCCCCUUAUAGCUGCUCGGAGGAGAGCCAUUUGUUUGGACAGAAAUUGCAGUAUUUUCCUGAGUUUCUCACCUGCAGAGCUGUGCCCUUCGCCCUGUGGGAAGCAGAGUGCUCUCCGAGGUUCAGAAAACAGCGGGCGUUCCAGCAGCAGAAGCAGGGCACUGAGUCUCACCUCCACUGUGUGCAGGUUUCCAAGCGGUGGGCAGGUGAAGAAGGCCAACCUUCCCAGACAACUUAAUAAUGAGACCAAACUUUGGAGCAGAAGCAAAAAGAAGAUGCUGGGUUUCGACAGUGAAGUCUGGAGAUCGGUUUUCGCCAAUUUCUUUGCUUACCACCUUCAACCUAACUGCAAACCAGGACAGCAAUGCUAAAGGAUUCAGUGUCCUGAAUAUGUACACACAUCGGCUGCGCCGUUACACAAUGCGGCGAGGGUGGGCUGGGCUAAGACAACAUCUCCUUGAGGUCAAAGUCUUCUCUGCUCAUCAAUGCACUGUCAUUACAAUGCGAAGCCCAGUUCAACGAAACACGUGCGUAUUAUUUUUUCGAACACAGCAGAAUUUUAGCUUGUGCUUGAAGUCCAAUAAGAAAGUACCACCGAGACCCCACGGAAGGGUAGAUCUCAAACCCCAGUGAAAUCUCUGAUGGUUGAAUGAAGGAUAUGGGCCGCCCUUUAUUCUUUUCCGGGUGAGGAAAAUAUUCCAAAACUGCGAUGUGGAAGAAUCUUAUUCUCAGACUUCCGGUUUCAACCAGCAACUAAAUCCCCAGCCCCUAAACUGACGAAAAGGGUUUGAUGUCCCCGUGUGAUCCGCAAGCGCCUUAAAUUUUUUAUGAAACUAGAUUUUGUGACGUGGACAUUGUAUUCUAAUUCAAAACAUAAUUAUAUUUGUAAAGUAGAAGUCCAGAGAGCAUGCUUUGCCCCUGUAUACACCAGAAUCCUGGAUCAAUGUUGAUAACUACUUAAUAAUUAUCAAAUGGCAAGUGUUCCUCACCGCCGCAUGUUACUCUCGGGAAGUUUAGAUCCUUCCUGUCGUGAUUAACUCACCGUUUAAUUGCCUGUACUCAUUUCAUAUCUGGGCUAUUUUCAAGAGUGUAACUAUUAAAUAAAAUAUUUCCAUUUCCUGUAAA